GUCGGAGUGGCGGAAUUGGUAGACGCGCUAGGUUGAGGGCCUAGUGUCCCUUUAAAGGACGUGGGGGUUCGAGUCCCCCCUCCGACA
rnacentral:tRNA from 2 species